AAUAAACAAACAGUAGCUCCAGACUAGGCAACAGCAGCAGCAGCAGCAGCAGUAGUAGUAGUAGUAGUAGCAGCAAUUGAAACCAAAACAAACUAACCGAAUUAAACAACACAACAGAAUGUCUCAAAUAAACAGAACUGAUCGCGGUUGUCGUCAUCUGCUUCUUAGUAAUGUUAACGUAUUGUUAUUGUUCUUCACAUGCGGGAGUUUAGUGCAUAUUGCAUGCGCCUUAACUGAAAAUCAUAAUAACAACAAUUCCCGUUUUGUAUAUAAUAAAUCAAAAGCGGAUAUCCAUGCUGAGCAUAUAGAAGACACAAAUCUUAAAUUGCUGGAAGAAAAUAAAGCAGAUCCGGUACCUAUGGAUUUCUAUCGACAAUUAAACAAUAUCACCGAUAUAUCAGAGUUUAUUGAUAAAUUCAUAGAUCCGGAAAGUUUGGAUCCCAAGUGGGGUAUACAUGAAAAUUUGAAACGUCCCGUCGAAAGGGCGGCCGUUGUACGUGCGAAAGCUGCCAAUUGUAUACCGGAAAAUUCCGUUGUCGAUUUAACGCCUCUGAAUCCAAAGAAUAAUUAUUUUCCCCGUUGCACGCGAGUGAAACGUUGCGGUGGUUGCUGUAGUACGCAAUGGAUGUCUUGUCAGCCGACCAAAAUCGAAGUUAUCAAUUUUCAAGUCUAUCGCUAUUGUUAUGACGAAGGGGCGAAAUUUUGCGGCCUAGAUGUGAUACCGGUAGAGCAACAUUUGGAAUGCAAAUGCGAUUGUCGCAUUAAACCGGAGGAUUGUAAUGCCUUUCAGCGUUACCAAGACUGCCGUUGCCAUUGCACCAAUGACGAAGCACGCAGUAAAUGCCUGCAACUUGAUCAUAAGACAUGGGACGACGUCAAUUGUCGUUGCGUUUGUAAACAAAAUGAAAAUUGCACCACGGGCUCCUAUUACGAUGAGAAUCAAUGUAAAUGUGUACUGAUAUAAAUGUUGUUACUGCUCUGCUCUAUAUGUUCACUCUAUAUAAGAUAAUAAUUAUAAUAUCAUAAUAAUCAGGCACCGGUCAGGACGGUCAACGAUCGAAUGUAAUUUAAACAUUAUCGCGUCGAUAUGAACUUGUGAUGAUGAUGAUGAUGAUGAUGAUGAUGAUGAUGAUGAUGAUGAUGAAAAAAAAAACUACAUUCUAUCAGCUUUGAAUUUUUGAAAUUUCAAUUAAAAUAAAACAACACCAGGACGAAGAUUGAAACACUUCGAUUUAAACUACGAUCUUCCAUUUUACGAGAAAAAGAAAGCGAGCGAAAUAGUGAGGCAUGGAAAUGCAGACUUCAGCACUUGAUUACGUUGAUGAAAAUCAACAAAAUUAAAGAGCACAGAAAUCUCUCAACUCUCAGCUUAAAACACCAGCAAAAUUAAUUUCAAAAAGAAUAAAAACGAAUCACAAACACACAUACAAUACAAUACAAA